AAGAGAGAGGAGAGGGGAAUCCGGCCAGGGGCCGGUCACCGGACGGCCACCGGAGGCUCGCCGGCGCCGGCCACCGCGUGCGGUGGCCGGAAAAGGUAAAAAAUUUUAUUUUUUAUUUUUUUUUAUUUUUUUAUUGUUUGUAUUAUAUUGUUAUUUUUAUAUUUUUUAGUAUAUAUAUAUGGGAAAAUAGAACAAAAGACAAAACAAGAAUAGAUUCACAACCACCUUAGGUUUCCGGUUCUGAUUUUUGACUUGUUGAUUCACUGAUUUUUGGGUGUUCGAAUCUCUGCCUUUUGAUGUUAAGAUCGUAGUAUUUCGGAUAUCAAUUGUUUGCUUUUUGGUUAAGAAAUCGAAAGAGAGAAGAGAAAAAAGGGUUCCCCCCAAAUACAACCGAUUCUUCCCUUUGAAAUCUCCAAAAAAAAAAAUUCCCCCCUAUUACAUUCAGAUCUGGCAUUUAUAGCCAUUUCAAUACAAUAUUUUUUUAAAUUUCUUGCCAUUGCUUCCUGUCGCCUGCCUCUGUCUUAGUGUUUGCUUUCUUUUUUGUCUUAUUCUGCAGGUGAUGGAAAUCAACAGGUGGGCGCACAUGGAGGAGUUGGUGGGAGUGUCAGACGCGUGGGGCGUGGUGGCCAAGGCUGAGGGGUAUGGUGGCCGACAUGGUGGCAUGGAGAGCUGGGGUGCCAGGGGUUUGCUGCUGAAAAACCUUAAGCAAGUGGGCUGUUAUUUGGGCUAGGGUUUGAUGUAAAUUGGGCUGUUUAAUAUUGUAAAUGGGCUAAUUAUUUUGGACUCUUUUUUAUUGUUUUGGGUUUUGUUUUUUGUUAUUUUUUAUUUGUCUGGGCCCGGGCAAUAUUGGGCCUGUACAUAAACUUUUAAUGGAACAAUUGUAAGGAAGGG
rnacentral:lncRNA from 1 species